CCCUACCCAGCCUCCGCGGGCCCCCGGCGCGGCAGCCGUCACAAGGCUGCCCGCGGGGCCCACUUGCAGGGAUGACAGCGCCUGAGGGGCCCACUCGGGCUCAUCUUCCGGAAGAUUCCUACGGUCGGGGUCCGAGGGACGACCCUGCGCACAGGGCCCCGCAGAUCCGGGGCCAGACGGCGGAAGGGGCGCUCCCGCCUGGAGCGGCUUGCAGGAGCUUAGUUCCCGGACCAGGGAUGGAACCCAGCCCCGGCAGUGAGAGUGCGAAGUCCUCACCGCUGGACCUCCAGAGAAUCCCCAGUACUGCUUUUUAGAAACAUUUCAAAACCCAAUAUUUAUUAUAACAACAACUAGCAUUUGUAUAGCCUUUUACUAAAAGCAGAGGAUUUCCACAAACUCAUUUGAUCAUCACAACAAUCCUAGUUAUCAUUUUCAUUUAGCACAGAAAUAUAAUGAGGCUCGGGCUUCCCUGGUGGCGCAGUUGUUGGGAAUCCGCCUGCCAAUGCAGGGGACAUGGGUUCAAGCCCUGGUCUGGGAAGAUCCCACAUGCCUCAGAGCAACUAAGACCGUGCGCCACAACUACUGAGCCUGCGCUCUAGAGCCCGCGAGCCACAACUACUGAGCCCGCGUGCUGCAACUACUGAAGCCCACGUGCCUAGAGCCCGUGCUCCGCAGCAAGAGAAGCCACCACAAUGAUAAGCCCGCGCACCGCAAUGAAGAGUAACCGCCGCUCGCUGCAAUUAGAGAAAGCCCGUGCGCAGCAACGAAGACCCAACGCAGCCAAAAAUAAAUAAAUAAAUAAAAUAAAUUUCUUUUAAAAAAAAGAAAUAUAAUGAGGCUCAAGGUGAUUAAAUGCCUGUGGUGACUCUGCUAGACUGUACCAGAAAUGGGGUUCUAACUUAAGCUUUCCAUGGCCAAAAUCAAGUUUUCGUCCCUGCAUCAUUCAGCAAGCCACUGUGUGAAGUGUUGGUGGAGACAAAGUAUGAUAAAGGACUACCCUCAAGAAAUUUAUCAUCACUUAUCUGAUGAAACAGAGGAAGGAGUACCAUGAUCAACUAGCCAAUGACAUAGAUCUGCACAAGUCAGACUAUUCUGAUUGCUGCUUUGACUCUGCUGUCCACCAGUGCUGCCACUUGGUCCCUGCAACCCUAGGAUCCAAUUACUCCUAUUGCAUUUAGGUUCCCCAAUUCAGUGGCUACUGUAUUUCCCACUGUUAAGGUCUGGCCUACAGAGAAGAGCGAUCACAGAGCCCUUCAUGGAUGCUGGAGCUCCCCUCACAAACUGCUAUGGAGUGCUGAAGAGCAGAAACUGGGAGCUUUAAAGCUUAAAGGGACAUUGACGUCAUGUGACCCAUGCUGAGGAAGAAUCCAUGGCAAAAGCAGAAUCUGAACUCUGAUCUCCUAACCUCCUAUCCAUCCAGUCCGGAGUUUUUUGCCUUGUGCCAUGAAGCCUUACUUCAAGCAUGUAGGUACUUGAUAAACACUUGAAGCUGCUAUGGACUUUCAUUUCCAUUCUGCUUUUUGCUUAAUGUUUACUUAGCAUUGUGGCAGCCUGGAAGAGUUGUGCUACGUAGAGCUGUAGAAACAGACAAACUUAGAUGUGAAUCCUGACUUUGCCAUUCUCUAGCUGUGUGACCUCUUGCAAUGCUAUCAGCUCCACCUUCAAAAUAUAACCUCAUCAUAACUGAAUCACUUUGCUGUACACCUGAAACCAACACAACACUGUAAAUCAACUGUUUUCAAGAAAAAUUUAGAUAUAUAUACAAAUAAAACCUCAUCUCUGGCCACACUACCAUGAACACGCAUGAAAUUAUCAAUUAUCAGGUUAUAAACUACAUAUUUUGUUUACUUCUACAUUCCUAGUUCUUUAACAUUAAGUGCUCAGUAAUUAUGCAUUGAAUAAAUGAAGUUUAUUUAACUGCUCUAAUCCCCAGUUUGCUAAUCUGAAAAAUGGGGAGAGUAUUAACCACACUUAUUGUACAAGUUGAAAAAAGAUGAAAUAAUGUAUCUAAACAGUAGAGCGUAAUAAACGCUCACUAAGCAUAGCUGUAAUUUUGCCACAAAUUAUUAUGCUUAAAGUAAAGGAAAACAAUCCUCCUAUUGUAUUUCCAAAAGUUAUGCAAUUUUUAUGAGGCCGUCCUUACUUGUUUCUUUUUAAGAUUUAUUUUUUAUUUAUUUAUUUAUUUAAUUUAUUUUUGGCUGCUUUGGGUCUUAGUUGCGGCACACGGGAUCUUUGUUGUGGUGCGUGGGCUUCUCUCUAGUUGUGGUGUACGGGUUUUUCUCUUCUCUAGUUGUGGUACGUGGGCUCCAGGGCACAUGGGCUCUGUAGUUGUGGCAUGAGGGUUCCAGAGCGCAUGGGCUCUGUAGUUUGUGGCACGGCGGGCUCUCUAGUUGAGGCGCGUGAGCUCAGUAGUUGUGGCACGGGGGCUUAGUUGCCCUGAGGCAUGUGGGAUCUUAGUUCCCUGACCAGGGAUCAAACCCACGUCUCCUGCAUUGUAAGGCAGAUUCUUUACCACUGGACCACCAGGGAAGUCCCCCUUACUUUUAAAAGUUAGUUAGCAGAUACAUUUUUUAACGUGCAUAUGCUGUAUUUUAAAAUAUUUAGUGUCGGUAUCUGAGAAUAGAUUUUUGCCUGUGUGCUCCUAAUGUAUUAAAAUAAACAGUGUCAUAUCAGUUUCAUAUUAAAUCUUAAUUGUAAUGUUCUAUUUAUGGUAGAUAAGUCUCUCUUAAUUACAUAAAAUGCCAGAGACAACAGGAGGCAGAACAAAAUACAUUAUAGGGAACAAGCAAAGCUAGUGAACAGGAAUGAUAAGUUAGCGAAGUUGGGGAAAAGUUAUGUGACAAAAGCAUACAAUGAUAUAGAACUUAAUCUUAAUAUUUACCUCUAGCAAAUCCUAAAUACAGAAUUGUCCAAAAAUCUAAGUAAUGCAGAAAUAUAUAUGAAAUAGGAAGUGAAAGUCCACUACAAUCCACGUCCAAAAAUAAUCAUUAACAGCUUACUUUAUAUUCUUUUUGAUUUUCUAUGUACUAACAUACAAAUAAGUAUAUGUAUCUCUUUAUCAAAAAUGGUAUUGGAGGGCUUCCCUGGUGACGCAGUGGUUGAGAAUCUGCCUGCCAAUGCAGGGGACACGGGUUCGAGCCCUGGUCUGGGAGGAUCCCACAUGCCGCGGAGCAACUGGGCCCGUGAUCCACAACUACUGAGCCUGCGCACCUGGAGCCUGUGCGCCGCACCAAGAGAGGCCACGAUAGUGAGAGGCCUGCGCACCGCGAUGAAGAGUGGCCCCCGCUUGCCGCAACUAGAGGAAGCCCGUGCGCAGCAACGAAGACCCAACACAGCCAUAAAUAAAUAAAUAAAUAAAUAAAUUUUUUUUAAAAAAAAGAAAAAAGCCUCUUAUUCUAACUUUUUAAAAAAAAAAAUGGUAUUGGACUAUAUAUACUCUUUUGUAACCUUUUUCACUUAAUAGUAUAUCCUUCCAUGUCAGUGUAUGUGGUUUUCUUCCAGUUCCUUAAAGAUGCCACUUUGCUUACCUCAUGGCCUUCCAUACAAUCCUGGAAUAUUCUUUCCCAUACUUUGCAAAUCUAGUUCCUUGUUUCCCUUUAAUUCUCUGCAUAAAUGUCAUUUCUUUAGAUAGGUUUUUCCAGGUCAAUUUAUAGAGUUCUCCCCACCAUUAUUCUCUAUCACUGCACAAUAUUUAUUUCCCUUGGAGCAGGUACCACAGUUUGUAAUUGUGAGUUUGUUCACUUAUUUUCUUGCCUAUUUUUUCUCUCUAAACUGUGAAUCUCACAAGGACAGGGAAUAAACCUGUUUUCUUCAUUACUGUAUAUUCAGUGCCUUGCACAGUGCCAGACACCAUAGUAAGCUCUAAAUAAAUGUGUUGAAAUAAAUAAGUGUGUAAGUAACACACUGAAAAAAGGGUAUUUUUUCUUUCACUUCCUGUCCAUGAUGGAUAGAGCACUGCUUUCUUUUUUUCUUCAGUUCUUUACUUAUUCUCAGUUAAGAAACAAUACUGUACAGUUGACCUUUGAACAUCAUGAGUUUGAACUGUGCAGGUCCACUUUUACAUGGAUUUUUUUUCAAUAAAUGCAUACUACAGUACUUACAGGAUACGUGAUUGGUUGAAUCUGUUGUGGUUGUGGAACUGUGGAUACAGAAGGUCAACUGUAAAGUUAUACACAGAUUUUUGACAGCACAGAGGUUAGUGCCCCUAACUUCCUACACUGUUCAACUGUACUUAUCUUGAUUCACACCUGGGAUUUGUUUUAAUCAGGUAUGGUAAGGUGACAGACACAAGGACAACUGCUUUUGAAAUAAGAGUUUAUUAUAUACAGUUCCCAAAAAAAGGGAGCAUGCCACACCAUGCAGGGCCACAUGGGGAAGCACCAGGGUCAGUCUGGAGGCAGAAGGAGUGAAAGAAAAAGCAUGGCCCAGAGCCUUUAUUGUAGUUUCUGCAGAAAGGAAUGGAUGAGGCAGCAUACGAAGGUUUAAGUAAAUUUGGGAUUGGAUAGUUUGAAUAUUUUUAGCAGGCUCUGGUCUAUAGGGGUGGUCUCUAGUUGUCCAGUACCUGGCCCUGGGUGGAGAGGGGUGAUUUAGAGCAGGGGAAAUACUGGCUUGGCGUAUGAGAAUUAAAUAAAGGAGGAAGCUGGGGAUAUGGGCUUUAGAUUGGUUGGUUUGGAUAUGAAAGGCACAUUCACAGAGGAAGCCAUUUGCUACCUCUAGGAUAAUUUUUAGAGAUAAAAGCCCUGCGAGUGGCAGCCUCUCCUCUGUCGGUAAGGCCACCAAUAUAUCAAAGUAUCACAAAAUAUACAAAAUAAAAAGCAUGAUUAAUACAUUUCCAACCUAAUUUAGGUAUUAUGAAUGCUCAUUCCCCAGUUAAAUUUUUCAGAUGAAAGAUAUAAACCACAUCUGUGUAUAUAAAUCUUUGUCUCGUUUAAUGCAGGCAGAUGGGCAGGGCCUGAAAUUUGGAGUUAAGAACCUGAGUUUAAGCACUGAUCCUUCCCAUUUCCAGCUGGGUGCUCUUAGCCAAUCCACUUAACCUCUCUGAACAGCAAGUUCAUCAUAACUAAAGCAGGGAUAACAGUAAUAUUUACCAGAAAUGUGAUUGUAUUUGUCAAAAUGUUUUGUAACUACAGUGCACCAUGUACAUGUUUAAAGUUUUACUGCAAUAUACUGCAGGGACUUUUUCUCAGAAUAAGAAUUUAGAAGGUUUUUUUGUUGUUGUUGUAAUUAUAGAAAUGUUCAAGGGCAAGACUGGAGGGGGAACACUAAAAAUUGAUUCAGGAAAAGAAUAAUAAUUCACUGUCUAGUUACAUAGUGCAAUUUUGGAUUAAAGGGUACUUUCCAUCAAUGGACUUCAAAAAGCUUUGAAACGUUUAUUUAU